AAAAGGAGGAAAGGGCGACAAAAAAGGCAAAAAGAAAUAAGGAAAAUUAUGACAAGAGUCCUUUACUCGUUUUUGUUUCUUUUCUAUUCUUUUCUUUUUGCGGUGAUGGUAAUAGAGUGACAGGCAUUUCGUUCGUAGCAUGCAAAUGUUGAGAGCUGUAAGUGUAGGUAAAUAGACGACCAAGUAAUGAGUCAUUAUUUUCUUCCCAUUUUCUUUUCCUUGACAUAUACGAAAUGAAAGUGCAAAAU
rnacentral:ribozyme from 1 species